GAGCUGUGUGAUAAGAACAAAGCACACUAUUCUUUCACCUUUUACUAAAGAAUACAAUGUGAUUGUCUCUUUAACCUGCAUACACUAAUUUUUAUAAAGGGUCUUCAAAAAAGGACCC
rfam:Cajanus cajan Scaffold000008_21, whole genome shotgun sequence.